rnacentral:rRNA from 1 species
CCUACGGGAGGCAGCAGUGAGGAAUAUUGGUCAAUGGACGAGAGUCUGAACCAGCCAAGUAGCGUGAAGGAUGACUGCCCUAUGGGUUGUAAACUUCUUUUAUAAAGGAAUAAAACGAGGCACGUGUGCCUUUUUGCAUGUACUUUAUGAAUAAGGAUCGGCUAACUCCGUGCCAGCAGCCGCGGUAAUACGGAGGAUCCGAGCGUUAUCCGGAUUUAUUGGGUUUAAAGGGAGCGUAGAUGGGUUGUUAAGUCAGUUGUGAAAGUUUGCGGCUCAACCGUAAAAUUGCAAUUGAUACUGGCAGUCUUGAGUACAGUUGAGGUAGGCGGAAUUCGUGGUGUAGCGGUGAAAGGCUUAGAUAUCACGAAGAACCCCGAUUGCGAAGGCAGCUUACUAAACUGUGACUGACAUUGAUGCUCGAAAGUGUGGGUAUCAAACAGGAUUAGAUACCCCUGUAGUC